rnacentral:rRNA from 1 species
GGGGAAUCUUCCGCAAUGGGCGAAAGCCUGACGGAGCAAUACCGCGUGGGGGAGGAAGGCUCUUGGGUCGUAAACCUCUUUUCUCAGGGAAGAACAAAAUGACGGUACCUGAGGAAUAAGCAUCGGCUAACUCCGUGCCAGCAGCCGCGGUAAUACGGAGGAUGCAAGCGUUAUCCGGAAUGAUUGGGCGUAAAGCGUCCGCAGGUGGCAGUACAAGUCUGCUGUCAAAGGUCAAGGCUUAACUUUGAACAGGCAGUGGAAACUGUACAGCUAGAGUGCGGUGGGGGCAGAGGGAAUUCCCAGUGUAGCGGUGAAAUGCGUAGAGAUUGGGAAGAACACCAGUGGCGAAAGCGCUCUGCUAGGCCGCAACUGACACUCAGGGACGAAAGCUAGGGGAGCGAAUGGGAUUAGAUACCCCAG